GGGGCCGAGGGGGAGGAAGAGACUGAAAAAGUUUCUAAACCUUGCUUCUCCACGAUGAUUGGCCAAGUCAGACGCGUCCCAAGCGCGACAGCCAAUGGGAGGCACGGGCCGAGCGGUUCCGAAAGGGCUGGUCGGCAAGAAAGGCCUGCUAGCCCGCGCCUCCCUGGGAUCUUCGCCGCCCGAGCUGGACAUCAUGCCACAGGAAGAGUGAGCUCUUGCCCAUUUUACCAUGGAGGACUCAGGAAAGACUUUUGGAUCAGAGGAGGAAGAAACAAACUAUUGGAGAGACCUGGCCAUGACCUACAAGCAGAGGGCAGAGAAUACUCAGGAGGAACUCCGAGAAUUCCAGGAAGGAAGCCGGGAAUAUGAAGCUGAAUUGGAGACUCAGCUGCAGCAAGCUGAAACCAGAAACCGGGACCUAUUAUCAGAGAAUAACCGCCUUCGAAUGGAGCUGGAGUCUGUGAAGGAGAAGUUUGAAAUGCAGCAUUCAGAGGGUUACCGGCAGAUCUCGGCCUUGGAGGAUGACCUGGCUCAUACAAAAGCCAUUAAAGACCAACUGCAGAAAUACAUCAGGGAGCUGGAACAAGCCAAUGAUGACCUGGAAAGAGCCAAACGGCAUGCUGCGGCUGCAGACACUCAUUUUAACAGAUGGCUUUGGAGAUUAGAAUUCAGAUCUUCACCCUUGUGAGUCCCUAUCAGCUCUUCUCUCUGUGGAGUUUUGAGAUAGGGUCUUGCUGUGUGCCCUCCAGCUCACUGCUGUGUUGCUUCCUGACUUGUCUUCAAGGAUCUGCUCUGCC
rnacentral:lncRNA from 14 species